rnacentral:rRNA from 1 species
UACGGGGGGGGCAAGCGUUGUUCGGAAUUACUGGGCGUAAAGGGCUCGUAGGCGGCCAACUAAGUCAGACGUGAAAUCCCUCGGCUUAACCGGGGAACUGCGUCUGAUACUGGAUGGCUUGAGAUUGGGAGAGGGAUGCGGAAUUCCAGGUGUAGCGGUGAAAUGCGUAGAUAUCUGGAGGAAUACCGGUGGCGAAGGCGGCAUCCUGGACCGGCAUUGACGCUGAUGAGCGAAAGCUAGGGGAGCAAACGGGG